CCUUAUAUAUACCUCAGAGAUACGGUGAGAGCCAUUCCCUCUCUGACAAUGGGCCCGCAAGGAACUCUCGUACUUGUCCUUCUGUGUGCCUACAGAGCCGUCUCCCUGAUCGCCCCGUGCGGCUUAUGCGGGGAUGAAAUAGACAUCACAAUCAUCGCCCAGAACUCUCUCAAGCCCCCGUUCUUCCAACAUCACCGUGAACGUGCACGGCGAACCACAGCGUGAGCUGAUCUACUUCCUGCAGAAGGCGGCAGACAUCGAUGAACGCCUCAGAUUUAAAAUCACUUACUUCGGUCGUGUCUUGGGCUGCUUUGUCAACUCAAUCAACAAUCUGGAGGAAAUUAUACUGCUGAAAACACGUCCUGGCGGGUGACGGAUGUUGACUUCAACUCCAUAAACUGGGCGUCAGCCACCACAUCCCAAACCACCAUGACACCGUCAUCUUCUCCUUCACCAACCAGACGUACACUUCACAAGAAGCGAACAUAUCCGACAAAGCAUGAAUAAACUGACUCAAAAUCUGAAAA
rnacentral:lncRNA from 1 species